ACACGCAUGACACACUGCAUAUCAAUAAGCGGAGGAAAAGAAACUAACAAGGAUUCCCUUAGUAACGGCGAGUGAAGCGGGAAGAGCUCAAAUUUGAAAUCUUCAAGGUUUUACCUUGACGAAUUGUAGUUUAAAGAAGUGUUUUCUGUUGAAGUUUCGGUAAAAGUUCUUUGGAAUAGGACAUCAUAGAGGGUGAGAAUCCCGUAUUUGACCGUUAUUUUCAGCUGUGUGAUACACUUUCAAAGAGUCGGAUUGUUUGGGAAUGCAGUCCUAAAUGGGUGGUAAAUUUCAUCUAAAGCUAAAUAUUGGCGAGAGACCGAUAGCGAACAAGUACCGUGAGGGAAAGAUGAUAAAGAACUUUGAAAAGAGAGUUAAACAGUACGUGAAAUUGUCAAAAGGGAAGCGUUUGACACCAGUGUUGUUUUCUCGAAAAUCAAUUAAAAAUAAAUUUGAUUUUGUGUUGUAUUGACCUUAAAAGCUUUCUUCACUUUUUUCAUGUUUAUUUUUAAUGCACUUUUCGUUUAACAAGUCAACAUCAGUUUCUUUUGUUGUAAAAAGGUCAUUGGAAGGUGGCUUUCUUUUCGGAGAAAGUGUUUAUAGCCUUUGACUCCUGCAAUCGGAGAGACUGAGGUCUGCAGCGUAGAUCCUUCUGGAUUAGAUUCAUUUGUGCUAAGUUAUAGCUUUUCAUAGACAACUUGUUGACUAUGUUUAGUCAUGUAGCUUACUCGCUUAUGUAAUUUUACCUACGCUUAGGAUGUUGAGCGCAUGUCUCUCUCU
rnacentral:rRNA from 1 species